CUAGACUCCUACGGGAGGCAGCAGUGGGGGAUAUUGCACAAUGGGGGGAACCCUGAUGCAGCGACGCCGCGUGGGUGAAGGAGCGUUUCGGCGCGUAAAGCCCUAUCGGCAGGGAAGAAGGAGGACGGUACCUGACUAAGAAGCCCCGGCUAACUACGUGCCAGCAGCCGCGGUAAUACGUAGGGGGCAAGCGUUAUCCGGAUUUACUGGGUGUAAAGGGGGCGCAGACGGCAGCGCAAGCCAGGAGUGAAAGCCCGGGGCCCAACCCCGGGACUGCUCUUGGAACUGCGCGGCUGGAGUGCAGGAGGGGCAGGCGGAAUUCCUGGUGUGGCGGUGAAAUGCGUAGAUAUCAGGAGGAACACUCGUGGCGAAGGCGGGUUCCUGGACAUUAACUGACGCUGAGGCACGAAGGCCAGGGGAGCGAAAGGGAUUAGAUACCCCGGUA
rnacentral:rRNA from 1 species